rnacentral:SRP_RNA from 1 species
GCCAGGCGUGGUGGCAUGGGCCUAUAGUCUUAGAUACUCAGACGGCUGAGACGGGAGGAUGGUUGGUUCAAGACCAGGAGUUCCGGGCUAUAAUGUACUGCACUAUGCUGAUAGUGUAUCCAUACUAAGUUCAGCAUCAAUGUGGUGACCUCCUGGGAGCAGGGAACUACCAGGUUGCCUAAGGAGAGGGUGAGCUGGCUCAGGUCAGAAAUAGAAUAGGUCAAAACUCCCAUGCUAUCUGUAGUGGGAUUGUGCCUGUGAUAGCCACUGCACUCCAGCCAGGACAACAUAGCAACACACCAUCUCU